GGCUCUAUAGUUCAAGGGAUAGAAUAAGAGUUUCCUAAACUCCAGAUCCAGGUUCGAGUCCUGGUAGAGCCA
rnacentral:tRNA from 1 species